AGAGAGAGACAUGCGCGCAUAUCAAUAAGCGGAGGAAAAGAAACUAACAAGGAUUCCCCUAGUAACGGCGAGUGAAGCGGGAAGAGCUCAAAUUUGAAAUCUUAAAGGGUUUCCCUUUACGAAUUGUAGUUUAAAGAAGUGUUUUCUGUUGAGGUUUUGGUAAAAGUUCUUUGGAAUAGGACAUCAUAGAGGGUGAGAAUCCCGUAUUUGACCUUUACUUUCAACUUUGUGAUACACUUUCAAAGAGUCGGAUUGUUUGGGAAUGCAGUCCAAAAUGGGUGGUAAAUUUCAUCUAAAGCUAAAUAUUGGCGAGAGACCGAUAGCGAACAAGUACCGUGAGGGAAAGAUGAAAAGAACUUUGAAAAGAGAGUUAAACAGCUACGUGAAAUUGUCAAAAGGGAAGCGUUUGACACCAGUGUUGUUUUUCUGAAAAUCAAUUAAAGAACUGUUUAUGCUAAGUUGUUUAGACUUUAUCAGCUAACUGUUUAGUUUUGAGCUUUUCUUUAAUGCACUUUUCAGUUAACAAGUCAACAUCAAUUUCUUUUGCUGUAAAAAAGCUUGAGGAAGGUGGCUUGAGAUUCGUCUUAAGUGUUUAUAGCCUCUUGCCUAUGCAGUCGGAGAGAUUGAGGUCUGCAGCGUAGAUCCUUCGGGGCUAAAUGCAUUUGUGCUAAGUUAUAGCAUUUUAUAGACAACUUGUUGACUAUGAUUUGUCUUGUAGCUUACUCGCUUAUGUUAUUUUACCUACGCUUAGGAUGUUGACGCAUGAGAUAUACGC
rnacentral:rRNA from 1 species